rnacentral:tRNA from 1 species
GGCACGGUAGCUGGCUGGCAGAGCAGCGGUUGCGUAAACCGCCGGUCGUCGGUUCAAGUCCGACCCGUGGCUCCA